GGGUGACGAGCGGCGGACGGGUGAUUAUGCAGGGAAACUGCCUUAUGGAGGGGGAUAACUACUAGGAAACGGUAGCUAAUACCGCAUAACGUCGCAAGACCAAAGAGGGGGACCUUCGGGCCUCUUGCCAUCAGAUGUGCCCAGAUGGGAUUAGCUAGUAAGUGGGGUAACGGCUCACCUANGCGACGAUCCCUAGCUGGUCUGAGGGGAUGACCAGCACACUGGAACUGAGACACGGUCCAGACUCCUACGGGAGGCAGCAGUGGGGAAUAUUGCACAAUGGGCGCAAGCCUGAUGCAGCCAUGCCGCGUGUAUGAAGAAGGCCUUCGGGUUGUAAAGUACUUUCAGCGGGGAGGAAGGUGUUGUGGUUAAUAACCACAGAAUUGACCGUUACCCGCAGAAGAAGCACCGGUAACUCCGUGCAGCAGCCGCGGUAUACGGAGGGUGCAGCGUUAAUCGGAUUACUGGGCGUAAAAGCGNCACGCCAGGCGGGACUAGUCCAAGUCGGGAAUGCUUGGAAAUCCCCCAAGGGGUUCAAACCUUGGGGAAACUGGGAUUUCCCGAAAACUGGGCAGGGCUAAAAAAGUCCUUGGGAACAAG
rnacentral:rRNA from 1 species